rnacentral:lncRNA from 10 species
UGAUAAGCUGUGAGUUUGCACACAAUAGCAACUGGUAUAUCACUUUCCAGUCAGACACAGAUGCACAACAGGCUUUUAAAUACUUAAGAGAAGAAGUUAAAACAUUUCAGGGCAAGCCAAUUAUGGCAAGGAUAAAAGCCAUCAAUACAUUUUUUGCUAAGAAUGGUUAUCGAUUAAUGGAUUCUAGUAUCUAUAGUCACCCCAUUCAAACUCAAGCACAGUAUGCCUCCCCAGUCUUUAUGCAGCCUGUAUAUAAUCCUCACCAACAGUACUCGGUCUAUAGUAUUGUGCCUCAGUCUUGGUCUCCAAAUCCUACACCUUACUUUGAAACACCACUGGCUCCCUUUCCCAAUGGUAGUUUUGUGAAUGGCUUUAAUUCGCCAGGAUCUUAUAAAACAAAUGCUGCUGCUAUGAAUAUGGGUCGACCAUUCCAAAAAAAUCGGUAAGAUAAAAACCAUAGCUGUAAUGUAUUUUAAACAAUUCCUAAUGGAUCUUAAGGCAUUAAUAGCAAUGUUUGUUGUCAGGCUCAGUAAUAAGGUUUGGUGGAUUUUUUGUUUGUUUUGUUUUUACUAAGUGUAUAUGAACAGUUUAAUCUAGAAUUCGUAAAAACACUUUGACCUUUGAGUUGGUAAUGCAUGUAACAGACUUGGGAUUCAGAUUUUUUUUAAUAAUAAAAGAGAAUAGAAAAAAUAUUUCAUGACACCAGUCUCUGACAAAUCUGGUGACUAAUUUCCAUUUAGUAUGUUAAAUGGGUAGCAUUUUAGAGAAUGAAUUCUUUGAAGAUAUAAAUGUUGUUAACUGAAUUGUGUAAUAAAUGUUGGGAUGUAUGUUAUUCAGGUUUUUAAAGGAUUUUUGAAAUGACACCCAAGAACUACAGUGCACAACAGACAGUAGCUAACAUUUAUUGCACAUUUAAUAUCACAAACUCUGUUCCUAAGGGCUUUACAUAUUUUAUCAGUUACUUUUUUCAGAACCCUUUAUAGGUGC